CCUCUCCUCUCCCUCUCCUCUCCCUCUCCGUGCCCUUAGAGCAGUCCCUGAGCCAUCUCUGCCAGCGUGGGCAUGCCUGCUGUGAAGGAAGCCAAACUGUACAGAAAUGUCAUCUCUGAUGGCAUUCAAGAGUCCUGACACAAUUACAGAGCCUGGCCCCAGGGGAGAGCUUGCUGGGUGCUCACUCUAAGAUCACAGCCCUGCACUGCCUUGUACAGCAAGGGCGUGCUGCCAGCAGGGCUGAGUGCUGCAAGGCAGAAAGCGCUGUGGGAGCCUCUGGGAGCAGAGCAAGGGAAUAUGUUGAGAGGAGAGGAAGGCAGAGAAAAGAAAGGCACUCAGAGCACAGCAGGAUAUCAUUUGCUGUGAUCCAUUGGUACUGACUUGACCCUAACAUGUUGGAAAAAACCCGUGGUUUGUGCAAAUGCCUUCAUCUAUGACCACCAGUUUUGCUAC
rnacentral:lncRNA from 1 species